GCUUGGACAAAAACCAGCUAUGGUAUUAAUGUAAUGUGACAGUUGUUUUCCUGCUCAGUUGUUGAAACAUCCACAUUGAUAAUUUGUUCCAGUGGUGGAAUCUACAAAAUCCAUGUGUCUUUAGGACUUUUUUUGUUGUUGUUGUUAAAAAUAGAAUGACUGGAGAAGCAUCCUUUGAGUGGGUUUACCCUGGUAUGUGAAGGCAGAGAUUGUCAACUUGUGUCCCAGAGAAACUCAUUAUAGUACAGAGUACAGUGUCCUUCAGGAGCUCGUCUUGUAAACUGCCCCAUGUCUGUCUGUGACACAAUGUGGGAAGGGGGAAGAAUUAAGGUUUGAGACAGAAGGGAAUGGUGAGAUGCAAAGAUGAAGAGGGGAACACAAAUGGAUCAACUGCUUAAACACAGGUCUAGUUUAUUAGGUGCCGUACAAGGGCUGGUGUCACAUGGCUAUCUACAUCACAAAUUAAGUAGAAGGAAAGAGCCUGUGAAUGCAACCCAACUUGCAGUCUGGGGGCUUUGAGGGGUGUUGGUGUAAGCGAUCUUUGCACUGUGUUUUGGCUCUGACAAAGUGCGACAACUUGAAAUCACCGACUAUUUGUUUCUAAACGGUAUCCAAAGGGGGCGUCAGAGACCCUCAGACUUUAAUUUCUUCUGAAAUUGGAGAUAGUGGGAUCUGUUACUUUGUUUCUAGCACAAUUAAUAAGGUGGUUAGCUCCACCCCAACCCCAGUUUAUCUUGGGGUUGUGCCCAAUUAUGAGCACAACUCUGAAACAGAUGGUAGCAACAAACUUUUUGGCCAUUGAUAGCUCCUGCUUUUCUUUAAAUGCCUUGAGGAAAGAGAACAUGUUACAGAAAAAAUAGCAACAAAUUAAGAACAUUUAUGGAAGUCAGGUGCUCUUUGGAAGAAAUGUGUUUGAGGCUACCGAUGCUUGUUGUAGGAAUAUUUAGACCAGUGGUUUCCAAGUGGGAGUUUCAGGUGGGAACACCUCAGAUAUCUCCUUUGGGCUGGGGAGUUUUACACUGGAUGAUGUAGUACUGUGAGUCACAGGAUACUUCAGGAGUCUUCGACACCUUCCAAGAUGUUGCACCUGUCUCUUAUGUCAGUGCAGCUGAGUCCAUUAUGGCCCAUUAUAGCUCAUCAACAAGAGAUGAAUAUCUUCAGUGUUCCAGGGAGUUAUCACAGCUGACUCAUCUGGGAAACUGCACGGUCCAUUCCAAGAGGGAAGGGAAAGGGCCAGAUGCUUGGUUCCCCUCUGGAGGAAGUUGGCUCCUUCAGUACUCAGUAUCCUCUAAUAAAACAAAUUCAAGUUCAUACCCUUAGAGGAUCCCGCCCUUAAGCAGACUUGGAUUUUGUCGGUGGUGCUUGGUCCCUCAGAAAGCUGCACAUAAGGGUGUUCAAGCUUUUGCAAUUGUUUGUAGUUUGAUUGCCUCUUCCUGCACCUUAGCCAGAAACAACCUUCAUUACAACUCCACUCACGAUUUCAGGGCAACACUGAAGUCAAGGACAACUCUUGUCCUGCAAGGACUCAGCCAAAGUGACCACAUAGACCUGGGACUCGCACACAGAACUCAGCAUCACACAGGUAGCUGUGCAUAUUGUUCAUUGCAAACUGUGCACAACUCAAAAAGGUCUUUGAAGCUCCUUUCAACUUCAGGUGCUUGCUAAAAGUCCUUCUGUCCUAACUAUUGAUAGAAUCUCUGUCAGUUAAAUUAUCCAAUUUAGAAAAAAAGAAAA